UUAUCAGAUUUGUUGCAAGGUUGUUCCAACAAGUCCGAUACUGUCAUGACAUAACAAUAUUGUUACAACCUUGUGUCGUCAACCUUGUAACAUUCUUGUUAUAUCAUGACUGUAUCAGACUUGUUAGAACAACGUUGCUACAAGUCUGAUAA